AAUGUGCUUUACAUACUUGAGCUACGCUACUAGGUAAGGCAAAAGAAGAAUAGAGUGUGGAUGUGCUAGUUGAUCCAGUUUUGCUUUUCGGAUGUUAUCAUAGAUAGAUGCAUACCUGCAAACGUGGAAUUAGACUUUUGUGACAAACCUUAGUGUGUAAACAGUAUUGUAAAAUGAUGUUCUGUAUAGUGUUAAAUACAAUAUAUU
rnacentral:lncRNA from 1 species